AGCAGCCGCGGUAAUUCCAGCUCCAAUAGCGUAUAUUAAAGUUGUUGCAGUUAAAAAGCUCGUAGUUGAAUUUCGGGGUUAGUAGGUUGGUCAUGCCUCUGGUAUGUACUGGUCUCACUGACUCCUCCUUCCUGAUGAACUA
rnacentral:rRNA from 1 species